rnacentral:rRNA from 1 species
UACGGGGGGGGCAAGCGUUGUUCGGAAUUACUGGGCGUAAAGGGCUCGUAGGCGGCCAACUAAGUCGGACGUGAAAUCCCUCGGCUUAACCGGGGAACUGCGUCCGAUACUGGAUGGCUUGAGUUUGGGAGAGGGAUGCGGAAUUCACGGUGUAGCAGUGAAAUGCGUAGAUAUCGUGAGGAACACCAGAGGCGAAGGCGGCUACCUGGACAAUUGCUGACGCUCAGGCACGAAAGCGUGGGGAGCAAAAGGG